rnacentral:rRNA from 1 species
CGGAACGUACCCAGUAAUGGGGGAUAACACAUCGAAAGAUGUGCUAAUACCGCAUACGCCCUGAGGGGGAAAGCGGGGGAUCGUAAGACCUCGCGUUAUUGGAGCGGCCGAUGCCGGAUUAGCUAGUUGGUGAGGUAAGAGCUCACCAAGGCGACGAUCCGUAGCUGGUCUGAGAGGACGACCAGCCACACUGAAAGAUGAGACACGGCCCAGACUCCUACGGGAGGCAGCAGUGGGGAAUUUUGGACAAUGGGCGCA